rnacentral:rRNA from 1 species
AUUGAACGCUGGCGGCAGGCCUAACACAUGCAAGUCGAACGAGUGGCGGACGGGUGAGUAAUGUCUGGGAAACUGCCUGAUGGAGGGGGAUAACUACUGGAAACGGUAGAUAAUACCGCAUACCAUCGGAUGUGCCCAGAUGGGAUUAGCUAGUAGGUGGGGAAAAGGCACACGUAGGCGACGAUCCCUAGCUGGUCUGAGAGGAUGACCAGCCACACUGGCACGCAGACACGGCCCAGACGUCUACGGGAGGCAGCAGUGGGGAAUAUUGAACAAUGGGCGCAAGCCUGAUGCAGCCAUGCCGCGUGUAUGAAGAAGGCCUUCGGGUUGUAAAGUACUUUCAGCGGGGAGGCGUUACCCUCAGAAGAAGCACCGGCUAACUCCGUGCCAGCAGCCGCGGUAAUUC